rnacentral:ncRNA from 1 species
AAAAGACUUAGUCCUAACCUUACUGUUAAUUUUCGCUAGACAUAUACAUGCAAGUAUCCGCACCCCAGUGUAAAUGCCCUUAAUGUCUCCCCAUUAGACAAAAGGAGCAGGUAUCAGGCACACUAUCUAUGUAGCCCAAAACGCCUUGCUUAGCCACACCCCCACGGGUACUCAGCAGUAAUUAACAUUAAGCAAUAAGUGUAAACUUGACUUAGCCAUGGCGACCCCCAAGGGUUGGUAAAUCUUGUGCCAGCCACCGCGGUCACACAAGAGACCCAAACUAACAGUAGCCGGCGUAAAGAGUGGUAAUAUGUUAUCCAACCAAAUUAAGACCCAAACACAGCUAAGCUGUCACAAGCCCAAGAUGUUCCUAAAAUCACCAUAAAAAUGGUCUUAACACCCACGAUCAAUUUCACCCCACGAAAGCUAAGGCACAAACUGGGAUUAGAUACCCCACUAUGCUUAGCCUUAAAUCAUGAUACUUACCCCACCUAAGUAUCCGCCCGAGAACUACGAGCACAAACGCUUAAAACUCUAAGGACUUGGCGGUGCCCUAAACCCACCUAGAGGAGCCUGUUCUAUAAUCGAUAAUCCACGAUUCACCCAACCACCCCUUGCCAUGCAGCCUACAUACCGCCGUCGCCAGCCCGCCUCAUGAGAGAACAAUAGCGAGCACAAUAGCCCACCCGCUAACAAGACAGGUCAAGGUAUAGCAUAUGGAGUGGAAGAAAUGGGCUACAUUUUCUAACAUAGAAUACACACGAAAGAGGAUAUGAAAUCAUCCUCAGAAGGCGGAUUUAGCAGUAAAAUAGAAUAAGAGAGUCUAUUUUAAGUCGGCUCUAGGGCACGUACAUACCGCCCGUCACCCUCCUCAAAAGCUAUAACACCCCAUACAUAAUAAGCUCCGCAGCUGAAGAUGAGGUAAGUCGUAACAAGGUAAGUGUACCGGAAGGUGCACUUAGCAUAUC